GGGAACGGAUGGGUCCCGGGGGCCUUCUGGUCUUCAAAACCAGUGGCGCGGCGCCCAGCGCGGCGCGGUGGGUUCGACUCCCACGCGUUCCCGCCA
rnacentral:tRNA from 1 species